GGCCCACCAAGGCGACGAUUGGUAGCCGGACUGAGAGGUUGAACGGCCACAUUGGGACUGAGACACGGCCCAGACUCCUACGGGAGGCAGCAGUGGGGAAUAUUGCACAAUGGGGGAAACCCUGAUGCAGCGACGCCGCGUGGAGGAAGAAGGUCUUCGGAUUGUAAACUCCUGUUGUUGAGGAAGAUAAUGACGGUACUCAACAAGGAAGUGACGGCUAACUACGUGCCAGCAGCCGCGGUAAAACGUAGGUCACAAGCGUUGUCCGGAAUUACUGGGUGUAAAGGGAGCGCAGGCGGGAAGACAAGUUGGAAGUGAAAUCUAUGGGCUCAACCCAUAAACUGCUUUCAAAACUGUUUUUCUUGAGUAGUGCAGAGGUAGGCGGAAUUCCCGGUGUAGCGGUGGAAUGCGUAGAUAUCGGGAGGAACACCAGUGGCGAAGGCGGCCUACUGGGCACCAACUGACGCUGAGGCUCGAAAGUGUGGGUAGCAAACAGGAUUAGAUACCCUGGUAGUCCACACCGUAAACGAUGAUUACUAGGUGUUGGAGGAUUGACCCCUUCAGUGCCGCAGUUAACACAAUAAGUAAUCCACCUGGGGAGUA
rnacentral:rRNA from 1 species